AUUGAACGCUGGCGGCAGGCUUAACACAUGCAAGUCGAGCGAGAGGCGGACGGGUGAGUAAUGUCUGGGAAACUGCCCGCUGGAGGGGGAUAACUACUGGAAACGGUAGCGAAUACCGCAUACCAUCGGAUGUGCCCAGAUGGGAUUAGCGAGUAGGUGGGGUAACUGAUCACCUAGGCGACGAUCCCUAGCUGGUCUGAGAGGAUGACCAGCCACACUGGAACUGAGACACGGUCCAGACGCCUACGGGAGGCAGCAGUGGGGAAUAUUGCACAAUGGGCGCAAGCCUGAUGCAGCCAUGCCGCGUGUAUGAAGAAGGCCUUCGGGUUGUAAAGUACUUUCAGCGAGGAGGCGUUACUCGCAGAAGAAGCACCGGCUAACUCCGUGCCAGCAGCCGCGGUAAUAC
rnacentral:rRNA from 1 species